rnacentral:rRNA from 1 species
GACGAACGCUGGCGGCGUGCCUAAUACAUGCAAGUUGAGCGCUGAAGGUUGGUACUUGUACCAACUGGAUGAGCAGCGAACGGGUGAGUAACGCGUGGGGAAUCUGCCUUUGAGCGGGGGACAACAUUUGGAAACGAAUGCUAAUACCGCAUAAAAACUUUAAACACAAGUCUUAAGUUUGAAAGAUGCAAUUGCAUCACUCAAAGAUGAUCCCGCGUUGUAUUAGCUAGUUGGUGAGGUAAAGGCUCACCAAGGCGAUGAUACAUAGCCGACCUGAGAGGGUGAUCGGCCACAUUGGGACUGAGACACGGCCCAAACUCCUACGGGAGGCAGCAGUAGGGAAUCUUCAGCAAUGGACGAAAGUCUGACCGAGCAACGCCGCGUGAGUGAAGAAGGUUUUCGGAUCGUAAAACUCUGUUGGUAGAGAAGAACGUUGGUGAGAGUGGAAAGCUCAUCAAGUGACGGUAACUACCCAGAAAGGGACGGCUAACUACGUG